GCCCUCGGUGGAACAGCUGCGUAACGGUUCACUCACUGAUGGCGCCUGGAGGUUUGGCGAAAUACUGACAGGAUGCGACGUCAACGGGAGCGCAGGGCCAAGAUACCCUUUAUAUCAAACCGUCUAUCCUGGAGCAGAAAAAUCCUGUCUUCAUUGCUAUAGCUACAGAUUCAGAAAUGAGCAUGUAACAAAUUCAGGCCAAAGAGAGGCAAUGGAAAUCAGAGAAACACUGUUCCUGAAAGCUUCUGUCACUCAAGAAUCCAUGAAACAUUCAUGAACUUCACAUCAGAAGCCAAGCCCAGAAAAUAUGGGUUUAAGGUUUGCCUAUAUGUCCAAUACAAGAGAAAAAAGAACAUUCCACUUCUUUAGAAGGUUCUACUUUGAUCUCCUGAUUCCAGUUGUGAAAAAAAAUUGUGCCUAAAGAAUAUAGUCCCUUUAUAGAAUUGUUUUGAAACCUACUACAGGUAUUUCUACACAGGUGCUAUUGUGGAGGUGCAUACCCAACAGUUUGAUAAUGUAGAGGAAGUGAUAGCUUUGUCUGGUGGAAUCUGGGUCGACCUCACAGAGGAGCUGUUAUUUGUUCUGGAUAUUGAACAGUGACAAGGAUUCAGUGGGAGAGAAAGAGGCGAGGAUUUUAAUGCAACUUGUUACACAAGAUGAUCCCAAACAUAUUUGACUUUUAUUUUCAGAAAAGCUUAAUACAUAGUUUUGAAUAUGGAUUGUCCCACAGGAUAAAUGCAUGAAAAAAGUUGGAAAAGAGAAAUUGAGUUACAUCCUAAUGGUAGUGUUUUCUCAGGCAGAUCAAUUUUAGAAAGACAACAUUGACUUGGAAAACUGAAGAGUAAUUAUUCUAAAAUGGUUUUAACAGUUUACUCCUUUUAUGUUUGCAAACUUCCAGGAUUAGUGAGUUGCAUAAAGUCACAUAAUUUAUUGCGUUGGUGCAAAAGUAACUGUGGUUUUUGCCAUUAACAAAACCACAAUUACUUUUGCAUCAGCCUAAUAUAAAUGAAUAAAUUAAUAUUAGAACACAGGUCUAAUUAAAAGGUUCUGCUGUGUUGUGUCCUGUGAUAACACAGAAAACAAUCAAAUGGAUAAUUACAGAAAAAUUUUGGAUAUAAAAUUAGCAGGUAAUUUUCUCCCUCCUUUCCUUCCAUCUUUCCAUCCUUCUUUGCUUCCUUUGCUUUCUUCUUUUCCUUUGUUUUUUGUUUCUCUCUCUCUCUUUUUUUUUUUUGCAAUUUGGAGAAGGAAGUACUUUAAAAGAAAAGUUAAAAGGCAGACAUAGAUAGCAUGAAGCCUAAUUGCAAGAUCUUUUUCAAACAUGUUAGUUUUAGGAAAUAGCACCUGAAUUUAAGUCCCUUAAAAUUGUCUAUGUCUUCACGUCCAAGUCUCUAUAUUUGCAGGGCUGUGUACAAUCUAGACUGAACGUGCUUGACCUAAAAACAGAAGUAAUACCUGGGACAAAGCACGAUGUCCACCACAGUCUUCUCUCUUUAGUGUGUUAAGAUAGAGUUGAUUCCCAGAGUAGCCUGCCAUCACUAACUCUGAGGGAUGAUGGGCUAAUUUUGAUAGAAGGAGCAGAGGUGGUAGUUAGGAGGAAGAUGACUCAUCAUCAUUGUAUCAGCAGGCAUUGAUGACUGGAAAUAUCAGGGGGCACAGCCUGAAAGAGAAUGGCUUAAUUGGAAUCGAUAGUGGGAUCUUGGAAAUCAAUACAUAUGCACUGAACAGAAAAUGGUAUGCUAUAAUCUACUAUACACUGUAUGUGAAACCCAAGCUCCAAAUUUUUCAGCCCAUGCAAUGUCCAGUGAAAUUUCUCUUAGUUACAUUAUAAUUGCAAUGUACAUGUAUUUGAGGGGAAAAAAAGUGAAAGAAAAAGUAACUAAAGUGGAAAUGCCAAACUUUGUUUUUAUUAAUGUUAAAAUUUAUUUUGAUCAACUUGCUAUUCUUAAAAUUGACCAAUCUUCUUCCCUUCCUUGCCUCUUCCAUGGUUUAUAGGAUUAUUUUUCAGGGCUGAUCAGUUGGUGUUACCUGUGACUACUAUGCUUAAUGCUAUCUGGCUUCUAACUUUAAGCACUGAAAAAAAGUCCUUCAUAUUUCUCAGUGUGUGAUUGAACUGAGAUGACCAUCCUAAGCCUCCUCAUUACAUAAAUCCUUACCUUCUCCAGAAGCAACAAAUGGAGAUGAGAAUAGCAUAUGUUACUUCUCAGCCAUAUUCCAUAGCCUUUUCUCCAAGAUAUUUUUCCAAAGUUGCCCCUUUUCUGAAUCCCUUGCAAGCAAACAAACAACAAAACAAUGGGUAAUAAAAUAAUUGUUUAACUUUCAUUGAUAUGCUCUGAGAUUGAUGUGAUUUUCAUAAAUAACUAUAUUAAAAGACAAAUGGGAGCGGUGAUUUUGUGAAGAGCCCAUGCCUCUGCCCAUGGAAUAUGUGGCUUGGCCUGGAGCUCUUAUUUUACUUAUAUAUUUCUAAGCAGAAUUAUUCAAGAAUGUCUCUUAUUACAGGUCUUGAAACUUGGACAGCCAACAGAAAGGAAGCUAAUAAAUAAAUUUGUCAGAACAUGAUUCUCAGUUUCGCUUAUUUUGAAUUAAAGGUAACCUGGAAAAUGGAUUAGGAAAACAGCCUAUAAUCAGAGGAGUGACCCCAGUGAGACCCUGUCAUUAAAACUUUAGUGUUGAGCCUGCAAACCUCUGUUCCUCUGAUUAGGCAAUUUACUCCAUUUCCACCUUUCUGUCUGCCAAAACAUUUAGUGGCAAAACAUUUCCUAAUUCUCUAGACUCAUAAAAUGUUGUUUUGAAAAAAAGUAAAACAGAAUGGAUUACCUUUUUAAGCUAUCUAUCAUAAUGUAAUCAGAAAACAUGAGGGAUUAAUAGAUAAUAUUGUAAAGAGGCAAAGGCAGCAGAUGUUAUUUAGAUGAGCAGAAGGUCACAGACCUCUGUUGAGGAUUGAAAGCUUGAGGUACGUGCCUUUGUUCCUCAGUGUGUGUGGAUCAGAGUGAUUACUGAUAUCAGUUAGCAACAUGGUGGAGGGGACAAACUGGGGCUGCAUUUUCACUAUGUUUAUUAUUGCUCAAGGUCAAAAAGUGACUGUGUAGUGCCUCAGUGUUUACAUCUUUGUGUUAUCAAUAUUUUUUCUAUUACCUUACAAGUUUAUUUUGAUGCUGUAAUGAUGAGACAGUGUUUUGAAAAGUACUAAAUAAAGAGUAUUCUCUAACUUUUAAA
rnacentral:antisense_RNA from 1 species